UACGUAGGUGGCAAGCGUUGUCCGGAUUUAUUGGGCGUAAAGCGAGCGCAGGCGGUUCCUUAAGUCUGAUGUGAAAGCCCACGGCUCAACCGUGGAAGGUCAUUGGAAACUGGGGAACUUGAGUGCAGAAGAGGAGAGUGGAAUUCCAUGUGUAGCGGUGAAAUGCGUAGAUAUAUGGAGGAACACCAGUGGCGAAGGCGACUCUCUGGUCUGUAACUGACGCUGAGGCUCGAAAGCGUGGGGAGCAAACAGGAUUAGAUA
rnacentral:rRNA from 1 species